GCAGCCGGUUUUGUUGAGUGCGCGAUCUACCGCUUUCGUAUUUGUAAAAAAUUAUAUACAAAUUUAAUUUGAUUGUUUAGUAGACCUUCACACCAAAGAAAAAUAUAUAAACUUUCCAUUUGAUUGACGCGAAUAUUGAAACUUGGCAAUCUUUACUGGAGGGCGCAUUAAAAAAAAUUUCCUUUCUACAAAAAUCUAUUGAAAUAAUUGAUUUUGAGUAUAUCCAGCCACUAUUCGAUGAAAAACGUGAAUGGGAAGCCACUUCGAAUUUCAUCACAAUCCACACCUGCAGCAUACAAAGAAGCUGAAGGAGGAUUUGCUAAAGCAGAGUCUGCAAAAUUUCCAAGGUCAAGCUUCAAAUUUCCAAGAUGAUUCAAAAUCACUGCGAAAAUAGUUGCAAUAGCAACGCAGUGUCAAGUCCCAUAAAAAAUCCGGUCCCAUCUGAUACGGACGUACAACAUGACAGAAAUAAGGAGCAAUAUAAGCUUAAUAAAGAUAAUACAAACGUUACAUUUCGACAGUAUUCUGAAUCGGAGCUUC